UCCAUGAUGGAUAUUUUAAGGUUUUCUUUCAAAGUCUUAAACAAUAAAUGAAUUAGAAUAUUUAGAAUACUGGGGGGGGUAGAGGGUUGAGGGAUGUAAAUACAGACUUGCUAGUGAAAAGAUAACACGUGUGAUAUUACAAGUACAAGGUAGACCUGGUAUUUCACAGUUGUAUUUAGUUAAGAAAACUUAAAUCACAGUUUCUUUUUUUGGAGGAAAUGUAAUUUGUAUUAUAUGAUGCUAUGUCCAUUUGACUGGCCUUUAUAAAAUCACAUUAUCAAAUUUUAGUGCAGUUUGGCUGCCUUUUUUAGGCAUAGGGCAUGUUGGGAGUGAAGAAAUAAGCUCCUUCCUUCUCUGAUUUACAGAAACACUGCUUGCUGAAUCAGAUCUGCUGAUAAACAAAUCACACCUAAAACAGGAAGCUGCAGAACAAAUAAACCACACCUAGGUUAGCAUUUGCAUAAGCCUUGCAGUUAAUGAGUACCCUCGGAAAGCAGCAGGAAAAGGGCUUUGCUGAAAGGAUAAGAUUGAUCUGGUCACCUAAGAAACUGCUGCUUACAAGUAUGGAUAGAAGUCUACUAUCUGCCUGAAUUGAGAACACCACUUGGCUUGGAACAGGGUAGGUGUAAAUUUGCCCACUUCAUCCUGCAAUCAGACCCAGACCCAGAAGCCCAGACACAACCUUUUGGUCAGGCUGAGGAGGAGCCUUUCAGAACCUGAUCAAAAAGAAUGACUAGUAAUUUGAGAAUGAGUAAUGGGUUUGGAGCGAAGGUCAUUCUGAGCCUGUCCUCACCUGCGCUACGGGAAGGGAUCGCUGAAACCAGCUCAUCACUCUCAGGUUCCUGUUUUUGACUGUUUUGAGUGCCCCACUGAGGAACAAUAUACCGAAACUCUGUGAUCAAGCAAAGGUAAUCAUGGCAACGAGCAAACCAACAGAUAACAACCCCUACCCCUUGUAGUUUCAGCCUGGAUCCUAAAAAGAGCAAGAAGCAGGAGAAAGAAGAAAAGGAAUUUAGAAAGAAAUUUAAGUUUGAAGGGCCCAUUGAGGUGAUCUGUCAGAUGAUGGUCAACCCCAACGCCAGUCUCAAGAAGGGUGGGGGCAAGGACCUGACUCUGGUGUGUGGAGAGAUCCUGGAUGUCAUCCAGCUCGUAAAUGACAAGAAGGCUCUGUGUCGCAACAGUCAGGGGAAAUAUGGUUAUGUGCCCAGGAUAGCUCUCCUUCAAGCGUAUGU